GAUGAACGCUGGCGGCGUGCCUAAUACAUGCAAGUCGAGCGAACAGAUGAGGAGCUUGCUCCUCUGACGUUAGCGGCGGACGGGUGAGUAACACGUGGAUAACCUACCUAUAAGACUGGGAUAACUUCGGGAAACCGGAGCUAAUACCGGAUAAUAUAUUGAACCGCAUGGUUCAAUAGUGAAAGACGGUUUUGCUGUCACUUAUAGAUGGAUCCGCGCCGCAUUAGCUAGUUGGUAAGGUAACGGCUUACCAAGGCAACGAUGCGUAGCCGACCUGAGAGGGUGAUCGGCCACACUGGAACUGAGAAACGGUCCAGACUCCUAAGGGAGGCAGCAGUAGGGAAUCUUCCGCAAUGGGCGAAAGCCUGACGGAGCAACGCCGCGUGAGUGAUGAAGGUCUUCGGAUCGUAAAACUCUGUUAUUAGGGAAGAACAAAUGUGUAAGUAACUAUGCACGUCUUGACGGUACCUAAUCAGAAAGCCACGGCUAACUACGUG
rnacentral:rRNA from 1 species